rnacentral:rRNA from 1 species
UAAUACGAAGGGGGCUAGCGUUGUUCGGAAUUACUGGGCGUAAAGCGCGCGCAGGUGGUUUUCCAAGUCAGUGGUGAAAGCCCGGAGCUCAACUCCGGAACUGCCAUUGAAACUGUGAAACUCGAGGACGAGAGAGGUGAGUGGAAUUCCCAGUGUAGAGGUGAAAUUCGUAGAUAUUGGGAAGAACACCGGUGGCGAAGGCGGCUCACUGGCUCGUAUCUGACACUCAAGCGCGACAGCGUGGGGAUCAAACAGGAUUAGAUACCCUGGUAGUCCACGCCGUAAACGAUGAUUGCUAGCCGUUGGGCAGCUUGCUGUUCAGUGGCGCAGCUAACGCAUUAAGCAAUCCGCCUGGGGAGUACGGCCGCAAGGUUG